CAAUCAUCAAUCAUGGUCUUCCGCAGCUGAACUGGUAACCUGUGUCCCCCCUAGCCAAGGCCAAACUUGUGUCUGUCCCUCAAGCUGACUGGAAGCCCGUAACUGCUGUGAUCGCGUUGCGUUUAUCAUGUUCUCCGGGGCACACUCUGGCGUCAGUUCGGCGCACGCGCUCAGCUCGAGUCUGUUCGCCGCGAAAGAGGAGAAGCGCGCCAAACCGCCGCUCCCCGAGGGGGUCUGGCGCGAGACUUCCAUCCGCGCCGGCGGCUGCGCGGAGCUCGAUCGGCGCGGGCAGGGGAUGAAAGGCGCGACCGUGUUUACGGAGAGGACGUGAUUGAAGACAGGCCCGCGGGGAAGAACGGCGGCGCCUGGGCUCAACGUCGAAUUCACUGAGAGACGGCAAUGAUGUCAGCGCCAGGAAUAGCGGGCGACAUUACAUCACGUUUGUAGGCACAAUGCCCUGCCAGCCGAGCCCAGGGCCCUUCCCACAGGCCACGCAGGGCCUGGUCUCCCUCCAUCUGUCAGACGCCCCACAGCCCUCCAGGUCCGCAAUGAGAGCACAUCCGACAGAUCGAAGGGAAAGCAGACCUGAGAGGGGUGCAGGUGAAGAAGAGGAGAGCCGGUGACUCCGGACGCGGGGUGUCCCAGGACUGCCAGGCGCUUGGGGCGCGCAGGGGGGGGGGGCUCAAGUGAAGCUAAGCUGGCUAGCUCUGCCAUGUACCCUGCCUCCAAUGAAUGGCUGAAGCUAAGGAGGGAUGGGUUUGAUCAGGCCAUGGAUACUCAAGUCUGGCCCUUAAGGAAACGCACGCCGUAAUGUUCGAGGUCCCGGAGAAAAACGCCUCUCCUCGUCCUACUCCUGGGGCUUUGACUCCGCCCACUACAAAAGACCAGGGGGCAGUGGUGCUCGUUAAAUAAACACACUUCAAAGGAUCCCCUCACCCCCCCCCCCAUCCCCUUCAGAUACUUCCUCAGAGUGGGCGGGGGGGGGGGCUAGCCCAAACUGCCUUGAUCCACCCGUCAUCUCAGCUGCAACACCAAAAGACCUGCCAAAUGGGGCUCUGCUGAGAAUCAACUGAUGUAAGUGUCUGUGCACAGCGGAGGGCAGCCGUUGUGUGUACGUGCUCUGAGACGCGAUUGGCUAGCCCCUGGCUCGCUACACUGCAGGAGCUCAGAUGCAAACAUGCUGCAGGUACCUGACCGACCAGAGGUGUCGCUAUUGAGCACUGAGGCAAGGAACCAGCAUGCCUACUGAAACCCUCCCUCCCGAAGCAGCCCUUUCAUUGCAUUAGUGUAGCAGUCUCUCUUAUCCAGAGUGAUUUACAGUGACACAGAAGGUCCCACCUGAGUUAUGUGAGCCCCACAGAGCCAUACCUGACUAACAAUGUUCCUAAACCAGCCUGUGCAUGGGAAACAUCACCAAACCACUGACCGUCUUGACUGGGCCCCUGAUUCUGUGUGUGUGGUGCUGGGAAAAUUCAGGCAGAAAUCAGUGAAGACGGAGCGGGCACCUGAAACAUGGACUGCAUGUUCAAGAUUGUCGGUUCAAGUGAGGUUGAGAGGAUGCCGCAGCAGAAAUGAAACGAAGCUGAAGAAAAGGAGUCACUGCGAUGAUGUACACGCAUACGCAGCUUCGCAUUCAGACACGCAGGUUAUGGGCUAAAAAUAGCACCCAAUUAAAACAGCAAGCAGCCGUUUCCUUCACUGAGCUCUCGUUGAUUUCUCCCCUCUAAUUAGCCAGCCCAGCAUCUCCAGCAGGAGCCACAGACCUCGCGCUCACAGUGAUGCUACAGCUGCAGCAGGAGCCACAGACCUCUCUGCGCUCUCAGUGAUGCUACAGCUGCAGCAGAAGCCACAGACCUCUCUGCGCUCUCAGUGAUGCUACAGCUGCAGCAGGAGCCACAGACCUCUCUGCGCUCUCAGUGAUGCUACAGCUGCAGCAGGAGCCACAGACCCUGCACUCUCAGUGAUGCUACAGCUGCAGCAGGAGCCACAGACCUCUCUGCGCUCUCAGUGAUGCUACAGCUGCAGCAGGAGCCACAGACCUCUCUGCGCUCUCAGUGAUGCUACAGCUGCAGCAGGAGCCACAGACCUCUCUGCGCUCUCAGUGAUGCUACAGCUGCAGCAGGAGCCACAGACCUCUCUGCGCUCUCAGUGAUGCUACAGCUGCAGCAGGAGCCACAGACCCCGCGCUCUCAGUGAUGCUACAGCUGCAGCAGGAGCCACAGACCCUGCACUCUCAGUGAUGCUACAGCUGCAGCAGGAGCCACAGACCCCGCGCUCUCAGUGAUGCUACAGCUCCAGCAGGAGCCACAGACCCCUCUGCGCUCUCAGUGAUGCUACAGCUGCAGCAGGAGCCACAGACCUCUCUGCGCUCUCAGUGAUGCUACAGCUGCAGCAGGAGCCACAGACCUCUCUGCGCUCUCAGUGAUGCUGCAGCUGCAGCAGGAGCCACAGACGUCGCGCUCUCAGUGAUGCUACAGUUCCUUUCACUGUGUUGCCGUUGCGUUUGUCAGUGCGUUUUCCGUGGCCUGAACCCAGCUUUAACCCACAACUCCAAAAAGACCCUUUGGUCGAUCUAGAUUAGAAUAGAGUAGAAAAGCGUAGAAAUACUUAUCUAUUAAACAUGUUUAUUAUCAUUUUUUUUAUUUCUGGUUUAUUUAACUAGAGUAGUCACACUGAGAUCGACAUCUCAGAUUCCCACAAUGAGUCCUGGAGCCUGCUUGUCUUUGGACAUACACUAUAUACAUUUAUUUAAUUCCUAACUCAUUAUUGCUCUCUAACCUCAGACAUUUCCCCCUGUAUCAGCCACCGGGAGGAAGUGUUUUGCCAUUUCGCUGAUAAAUCACCUAAAACUGGCUUAUCACAGGUAGAUAUAGUUCAGGUAUCCACACAAUGUGCCUCAAAAAAGCGUCACAAAAGUCAAGUAUAAAUGAUAUAUUUUCUCCUUGAAAA